CGUAGGUAACCUGCCUCUUAGCGGGGGAUAACUAUUGGAAACGAUAGCUAAUACCGCAUAAAAGUCGAUAUCGCAUGAUAUUGAUUUGAAAGGUGCAAUUGCAUCACUAAGAGAUGGACCUGCGUUGUAUUAGCUAGUUGGUGAGGUAACGGCUCACCAAGGCGACGAUACAUAGCCGACCUGAGAGGGUGACCGGCCACACUGGGACUGAGACACGGCCCAG
rnacentral:rRNA from 1 species